UUACCAAAACUAAAUUGUCUACUAAGCUACGCCAUCACACGAAUUGUUACUAGACAUAGUCAUAUUCCUAGCGUCUAGUUAUAGAACCAAUCAAUCACCAUAUUUGUUCUCUUCUUCGAGAACUUUAAGAAGAUAUAACAACCAAGUGAAAAAAGUGCAUAAAGUGAAAGAAAAGCUUGCUGCACUUUGCACUUUUUUUUAAAUAUCUAAAGAUAUUUCAGAUCGUUUCUCACAGCCAGUGAGUCACAGCCAUGGAAAUUAAAAACCAGCUCCCAAACUUACAAUCACAAGCUUUUUACAUGGUCCCUUGACCCUCUUAGAUUCUCACUCUUUUUGCUAGAACAAGAAAAAAAUAUAUGCUUAACACAGAUAACUGAUAGUGUACCUUUAUCAUAAUCUUAUCUUGAUUUCCUCCACAUAAUCCAGGGAAAAUAACUUACUUUGUACAUGUGAGAGGAGUUCCUCAGUAACUUUUCUGAGGAACAUAUAAGCCUAGAUCUCAGUUACCAUGGUAAACCUACUUUGUAUUGUAGCACUUGUAUCAGAAAAUCAGUAAAAUAGCAAGAAGAUUCCAACAAGAUGUUAAGAAAUACGAAAAAUAAAUCCUAGUAUCAUCCAGCCUUUAUGGACAAGUAACAUAUCCCAAAAAUAAGUACCAGCAGUUUCAACUUUCAAGUCACUACUAGUUAGGAGACGAGUUACACAAAAAAAAUCUCCAAUCCAAUAAGUUUAACAAUCCAAGUACGCCUACUGUAAUUCUUCUAUUUACAAUCGAGUUGUCCAUAGAAAAGAUCAUCAACUUGGCAUAUUUUUUGUGAUGACUGAUAGGGUUGAGAAGUACCAGAAGCGUUAUUGUGACUUUGCGAGUGAGAGAAGCCUAACUUUUAUGGGCCUACUAAGCCAAUGUAAAAAUGAAGCUCUUUAAAACCCAUCAAUAAAGCCGAGGAUCGAGAAGUUCUAAAGUGGCAACAUCAAACAUGUUUUCAAACUUUGGUACGCUUUGAGAGUUGCUGGCUUCCGGUGGAUCAACGGUUAUGUCUUUAAUUUCUGGCUCCUUGUAGAGCCACGGGUUUGUCAAUUUUGUUGAUUUUCUGAAUCUUGUUUCGAUGGUAGGUUGUUUUUCUUUCUGUUUAAUAAAUUAAUGGUCACUUAGACGAUCAUAGGUUUGAAUUGGUGAGAAUUGAUAUUUUUAAGAUAGAUCUUCAAAAACUGAGUUCUUUUCAAAAUUAUUGUUGAUAAAAGAAGAACCAAAUAGUUUCAAGAGAUCAUGCUAUCUUUGAAGCCUUCUUCGUUCAUGCUCGAAAUGCUAUCUUGUACCUGACACAUUACACUCACUUAUAAAAUAGAAUGGAAGCAAUAAGGUACUACUCAUUCAAAUUCAAUAUUGGUUGUUGGAACAUACAUUGCUGAGGAAAAUCAAGUGACCAUGAAAAUCACAACUACUUUUACCAGAGAACACAAACCACAGUCAUACUUACAGUCCAUCUUGGCUGUAACAACUACUCAAUGAAGAGGCUGGUUAGUAAUGCUUUGACGCUUCGAAAAUUAGUAAAAACCAGUAUAUUGUUUGGUGUUAUUUCAAUCUUUGGCGAGUUAUAUCUAUUUUUUUUUUUGAGUUCUUUAUAUCAUUUGUUGGUAAUUUUAUUUUGUUUCAUUUAUGCUUUUAUAAACUUUUUGUAUGAAUUUUGCUUUCUUAUGGUUUGAUAAUAAAAAAGUGUUUAAAAAAAACUUUGGUACGCAGGUAAACCGUGUAGAAAAAUAGUGUUUGAUACGGUGCUAGACCUAAGUCUAGCCCAGAGAAACGAUACAUAAAAGUCCGCUUUUGCUUACGGCUGAAAAGAUAUAUAUGGGCCGUAAUUUGACGGAUAACAAAGAAAACAGAUAUCGACUAGAGGCAGAAUUAAAAAAGUUGGAUCAGAAUAAACAACUCAUGAUGGCUGAUGAGUUCCAUCUGUAAUAGAAGAGAAAUCUUGAUCCAAGGAAGAAGAAGAGUAUCUGCCACUGAUGCUUCUGCUUUCUCCUGCUCCUUUAACCUUCUUCAUGGAUGUGAUAACUUGAUGAAGCGCCAAGUUUUUCUCUUUAAGACUCAAGUUCUCUUGCAGAACAAGAUCAUUGCUAUUCGAGGCUUGGUUAAGCUUCUCCAAUAGCUGGUGGUUCUCACUUCUAAGCCAAGCAACCUGCGAGAGAAGCUCAUCUAAGUGUCUUUGCUUUCUCAUUCUUGACCUUCUUGCUGAUUCUCUGUUAGAUACCAUACGUCUUUGCUUUCUCUCGUUGAUGACGAAUAUAUUUUCAGUUGCUUCAUCGGACGUGGUAGAGUUGUUGCUUGCAGGAGAUUGUAGUUUAAGUUCUUGAAAUUGAGGGUAUGGGAUAAGAUUGAGAUUGUUGUUGGAAGGGUUUAAGUUGUUGUAGUAAUGGUUUAAGUGGAAGUAGUCUUGUUGUUGCAUGUUGUUAAGACUUGAGCUAUCAUAAUGUGGCUGCAUGGUCAAUUUCUUUUUCUAGAGCUCAAAGAGGGUGAGAUAAUGGUGGAGGUUGGAUGACAAGGGGGUGUUUAUACAGCUGAGAAAGCCAUAAAAGUGGACCAAACUUUUUUGCAAAUUGGUGGCUUUAUAUAUGUCUUCUAUAUGACCCAUUGGCAUGUUUUUUGUUUUCCUUAAAUUAUUGAGAGGGCUAGUUAUUUUUAUUUUAUUUUUAAAUUAUAGGUCGCCAUAAAUCUACAAAUACAUUUUUAUUUUUUGUUUGUUUAAAAUGACUAAUAAGGUUGUCCCAUUGAAAUAUUGAAUCGUUUGAUGGCUCGAUGAAUGAGACUGAUACUAGAGAAAUUAUACCUUAUACUGAUACAAACAUUUUUUUUUUUUUUUUUGGUAAAAUGUUAAAAUACUGAUACAAACAUAACCAUUACAGGCAUGCAUUCAGGAUGUCAUAAUUUAUCAACCCAUUACAGGCAUGCAUUCAGGAUGUCAUAAUUCAUCAACAAACAUAAGCAUAACUUUGGAUGUGUUUAUAAUACAAGGAAGUGGUACCUCGACCAUGGUAGGAUUAUUAUUUAGUGUAAUAACCAAAUGGCAAGUUGUUUCCGGUGCAUGUAAGUAUAUGAGAGAGUACCAUGGCCAUCUAGUUGAUCAUGAUGUUCAUCCAUGAUUGAACUGCAAAAGGUUUCUAUAUCAUGCACAUGCAUUAUGAUGAUUGUGACGACUGGGGUAUAUAAUAUGUAUAUUGUGGAUAAAUCAAGUUCUGGAUCAGUGUUUUGUGCUUACAUCAGAGAGAGAAAAUGUAGUUUCUAGUUGUGGGGUUUCAAAAUUAUUUGAGUUUAGAAUCAGUUAAUGCUUUUGUUAGCCAACAUAUAAAGUAGUGAUGAUAAGUCAAUUAUAAAGCUGAUAAUAUUUAUUUGGUUCUAAUAUCUUCAUAACUCACCAAUUGCUCUUCUAUUUCUAUAGAAAAAUAAGAAGUCUCUUGGACCUUUGAGAUUUGCUUCUCGUCUCUCAUUAACAUCAUUAUAAUAUGGUUUAUGCGUAGACUUUUAGAGGUCCUAGAUAAAAUAUAAAAACCCUGUGGUGUUUUCAAUCUAUACUAUUAUUUGCGAAGUAAUUUUUUGCAACGGAGCUCUCACAUUAAAAGUUAGGCCGGUUAAUAUCUAUAAUACCCUUAAUGAAUUUUAUAUAUAAUUAAUUAUAUAAUCAAAAACGAAUUUUUAUUAAUAAUAUUAACUUUUUUAAAAAAUAAGAUAAUUCUUAUAUAUUGUGUUGUUAUCUUAAAACAUACUUUUCAAUUAUAAAAUUUAAAAAUAAAAUAUAAAACAAUUAUAAUAAAUUCAGUGGUUAAAGUCAAUAUUAUCGUUAAUAAAUUUUAGUUAAACAUAUAUAUUUAAUUAUAUUUUGUCAUAUAUAUAUAUAUAUAUAUAUAUAUGUUUGAUUUUUCUUUUUGAAAAUAUAAAUAAUAAGUUAUUAUUCUGGUUUUUGAAUUAAUAAAAAAUAAACUAAUAAAUAUUUGUAAAACGAUUAAGCCCACAUAUGAAAAGUAAGAUAAUUCUUAUAUAUUGUGCAUUUAUCUUAAAACAUAUUUGUCAAUUAUAAAAUUUAAAAAUAAAAUAUAAAACAAUUAUAAUAAAUUCAGUGGUUAAAGUCAAUGUUAUCCUUAAUAAAUUUUAGUUAAACAUAUAUAUUUAAUUAUAUUUUGUCAUAUAUAUAUAUAUAUAUAUAUAUAUGUUUGAUUUUUCUUUUUGAAAAUAUAAAUAAUAAGUUAUUCUGGUUUUUUAAUUAAUAAAAAAUAAACUAAUAAAUAUUUGUAAAACGAUUAAGUCCGCAUAUGAAAAGUAAGAUAAUUCUUAUAUAUUGUGCAGUUAUCUUAAAACAUAUUUGUCAAUUAUAAAAUUUAAAAAUAAAAUAUAAAACAAUUAUAAUAAAAUCAGUGGUUAAAGUCAAUGUAAUCUUUAAUAAAUUUUAAUUAAACAUAUAUAUUUAAUUAGAUUUUGUCAUAUAUAUAUGUUUGAUUUAUUUUUUGAAAACAUAAAUAAUAAGUUAUCAUUCUGGUUUUUGAAUUAAUAAGAAAUAAACUAAUAAAUAUUUUUCUUUUUUGAAAAAUAACUAAUAAAUAUUUGUAAAACGAUUAAGCCCGCAUAUGCGGGCACGACACCUAGUUAUAAAUAUCACACAGAAAGUAAAAUCUAAAUUAUCAAAUUAAAGACUGGAAGUGGAUAGUUGAACCUUCUUCUGGAAAUAUAAUAAUUAUUUAAUUAGAAUAUUACCACCAAAAUUUUUUUUUUAAAUCCCUCUUUUUAUCCAUGUAUAAAUUUAGGUUGUAAACACAACCAUGCCACACUGAAAUUCCAAACAUACACUAUACACGUAAAUCCUACAUAUAUUAAUAACCCCUUUAUUAUUGCGCAUUACCAAAUGAUUUCAAAUCUUCUAGAGUGUCUUUUUCGAUGAUUCCGGACAAAAAACAUACAUAAUAAUCUCUGAGACUAGCUAGUAGUAUUGACCAAGUAUUCUUGACAUCUAAAACAUUCACAGUGAUUGAACCUGAAUGAUGAGUCGUAAUCGAACACUGAUCUUUUAGUUCACAUAAUGAAUCAUUGGUUCACCAUAUACAAUUGAAUAUUCUUUUCAAAUGUUACGUAUUUAAAUCAAGUUACUUAGAGAACAUCGUGUUGAUACAAGAAAUCUAACUCUUAUAUUAUUAUAUAUAGAUUCCCAAAGACAUUUAUUAACAAAAACAAAACCACAUAAAAACGAUCCUUAUAGUUGCACUAGGAAAGCAAGAUGUGUUAGGCAGGGUUGGCUUGUCGUUUUAUAAAGGCUAGGGCAAAGGCUAUAUAACCUAAUACAUUUUAGGAGCUGAUGACUCAACAACCACUCAAACCCACACACUUGCAAAAUAAUUACAAUUUAAGAGCAAUAUUUUUUUGCUUAAUUUAACGAACUAAGUUAAGUUAAUUAGAUAUAUGUUAAUGUUAUCCCUUAGCCGGUUAAAAAAAUAUGAAGAUCAACUAAUACAGAACGCAUAUUGGAUCGUUUGGUUGUAGAACUAUUUGACUUUGUAUCAUGUAACGUCAUCAAAAUUCAGGAUAUAUAUCGUUUGGUUUUGUCCUAUAGUUUCCUGACUUAGACUCGUUGACAAUAUACGCAAUACAUAAGCUUUAGGCAAACUUUUUAGAUAGUCGGAUAAUUGAUCAAACGUUUCUCUAAAUAUCAAAUAGCUUAGGCAUGCAUGGGUUUAUUAUAGUCCAUUUGUAAAAAGACAGUGUUAACAAAUAUCUUUGCAAAUUGAUAUUGGACGUCUUUAGACUUUUUGGGUGUUGACAGAAAGUUACAUAAUUGGAGUAAUAAGGCUUUUUCGUUAAAGUUGUUUUUGAUUUCAGGUUUUACUGUUUUAGUGAUUCCCCUGGCCUCCGAUUUCAAACCAGACCUAUGCCUAUCCUUCGUUGAUGUAGUGGAAGAAGCAGCCUCUUGGAAGUGUCUACCGCCGUGUGGGAUUAAGGGUGAUCUCUUCUCUUGGGUGUGUUGGACCAUAUGGACCACCAGAAAUAAACUUCUGUUUGAAGCACACCCUGCAUCAGCCAUAGCUACGGCCUCAAAGGCCUUGAUAGACACAAGAGAAGGACACAGGCUCAAGAACCUCGCACGGCUCUAUCGAGAACGACUCAGAUCCCAGUGCGACCCCAAUCGAUUCCGGCCGGUGUAGUGACAUGCAACACUGACGCUGUCUGGAAAAAGAAAUCGUAAGCAGCGGGGCUCGCCUCGAUCUCCGACUCCUCCUCUCCGUUGUUCGCUUCCGACGGCUGUCAAUAUCAGCAUACAGUUCCAUCUGCGAUCAAGGCUGAAGGGUUAGCGGUUAGGGGUGUUCUCUCUCACGCUCAACACAUCAGCAUCACCAAAAUCUGGUUUCGUUCAGACUCUCUAUCGCUAAUCAGAGCUAUAAAUUCGAUUGCAAAGCCGAUGGAUCUCUCUGGAGUUCUAUCGGACAUCGAAUCUCUAUCAUCGUCCUUUGAUUUCUGUUGUGUUUCUUUUAUCCCUAGAGAGGAAAAUGUGCUUACAGACAAUCUAUCUAAGGCAUGUCUAUCUCACUCUGUAACAACUUAGGCCUGAAGCCAUUUAAUAAUUUUUAAUGAAUAAAUGGUUGAACAAAAAAACAAAAAAAACUGUUUUAGUGAUGACAUACAUUGCUACUCGAGGAAGCUACAUUUUCGAGAGACCCCCUAGUUUCUGCUGAACUAGUUCUUGGAUUUUAGAUCAAAUAUACAUUUGAGAUUAACAAGCUCUGAUGUUAUAGAUUUUCAUCUCAAACCGACUGAUAAUAUUGAAUGAAAAAGUUUAUAACCAUUAGUACUCCUUUUUAAUGUGUAAUUCACAUCACCUUAAACUUUGUUGACUGACUUAAACCCUCAAGUUGCAUAAUUUGAGUGUGUACUGUGUUGGUCAAACGAAAGGCAAAUACACACCAUCAAGUCAUAUCAUUCAGACAAAGUCUAUUUCUUCUUUAUUUCUGUCUCAUGUCCUUUUGCUCGGUUUGUUCUUCUUCCACAGCUUCAAGUUUUUUUUUCUCUGUUAUUUCUUUUCUUUUUACCUUCCUUUCUAAUUUGCUUUUUUCUUUCUUAGUGUUUCCUUUAUCUUAUAUUAUUUUUAUAUUUGUUUUAUUGGAUCAUAAACUAUAUAUAAAGUAUUUUUUAAUGUUUCAUUGUUUUGGUCCCAUCAGUAACACUACCACCGAUACUGGCCUACCUUAUUUUCAAUUCUUUAAAAAGAAAUAUCUUAGAUCUUCCAUCUUAUAAAUAAAAAUGCAAACUGAAACCUAAUGUAGUUAGUAAUUAAAAUGAUAAUUUGUGGUACCGAUAUAUCCUCUUCUAGCCAAACUAUCUACAUUUGUUCCAACAAAACAAAAAGAAUCUAAAAUUUUUGAAUUUUAACUCGUUUUCUUGCCUGAGAAUUUGAAUUCCCAAUGAUCUUCUUCAUUAGUAUAUUAGGUUAUUAUUUUAUUGAUACACUAUUUUUAAUGAAAAAUGAAUGAUGUCAUGAGGGUCCAACUGAUUGGUGGAUUAAGGAUAAGCCAAUCACCAAAGGCACAAUUUUUUUCUAUCAUCACACCUUUUCCGAUAGUUUUUACAACUCCAUUUCUCUUAUUUUUAUGAGAACUUUAUAAUUAUAGACCCAAUUUAUAGUUUUGUAUUUUCUUCGUUCGUGCCCUCCAAUUCGCCAAAUUGAGAUAACACACAAAUGUAUGUUAAUAAAUAGAAAUGCCUAAUUGUUAUAAAUCUAUGCGUUCAUUUGCGUAAAAGUGAUAUCCUGUUUAUAAAACUACUAUCUUAACAACAGAACUACAAAAACAACAGAACUACACAAAAUCGUUAAAAAAAAAAGAGAGAACUACAGAAAAUCAAAACAAAUUUCUUACCUUUUAGUUAAUAAUUUAUACUAUUAAUCACGGAUACGUAAUCCAUUUUCCUUCUAGUUGAAUAGUAAUAGAAGGAUACGAAUAAAGACCAAAAUCAUGAGUGAGGUUUUUCUAAUUAAAUUUUAUUAAGGUCUUGCUCCACUAUCACUGCCAAUUUAGAUCAUUAUCGUAAGUCGUAAUCAUGGAAAUUAUGUUUGUUAUUAAUAUACCAUGACUAGCAAAAGGUUUAUAAUUCUCAUAAGACCUACUUGUCAUUGCCUAAUUAUUUUCCCUGGUUUAUUUUGGGUUUUAAAUUAAUUAUUUUCCGUUUUUUAAAUUAGUUUUAUGCUUGGUAUCCGAGUAUGAUCAAGUGCAUGCAUACAUGAUACAUGCAGCUCACAUGCCCAUAAUACAUGCAUGCACAAUGCAUUUGUCUCUGUAGAUAUUGGUAAAUAAUUUGUACUUGAUGUUAGAUUGCGGUACUAAUCAGUCUGAAUUUUAUUCAAAGUUGUAUUUAAAAUACCUGUCUAGCAUUUAGUUUUAAAUAUUAAAAUAUACCUCAUCCAUUCCCAAAAGUAAAAUUUUCUAGAUUUUCUUGUUUCACAAAAGAUUUUUUAUAUUUUUAAGGUAUUUUUGUAUACUUUUGAAAAACAUUAAUUACAAAUAUUUGAAUUGAUUAGAUUUAAUUGGUGGAGAGCAAUUAGAAAGUGUAUAAGAAAAUAAAUAAUAAAAUUAAACUGUAAAUAUUUAUUAUAUUCUUAAUAAACAUGAAAUCUCUAGAAAAUUUUACUUUCAGGAGGAACAAAGGUAGUAUAUUGCAUGAGAUUAAUUACUCUGAAUUUGAAAAUUGGUCUGGAAAUGGUUCAUGUCCCUCGAGGAGAAGACGAAGAAAAUCCAAAGAGACAAGAAGACAAAGUGGGAGAACUUCUAAAACUUGAGCUCAAAUUUCAAUCCCAAAAUGAUUGAGGUAAUAAUUAUCAAAUGAAACAUUUUAAAUGGUGUAAUAAAUAGUAUUUCCGAUGUGAUGUUAUUCACCCACCCCAACUACAAAUGCGUUUUAUAUUCACGUUUUUUUCCUCUUGCAACUGUUUCUGUGCACUUCUUCAAUCAUUUUAAUCGAAAACAGAUCCACACAAAUAAAGUUUAAAAUCACCUGUAAAUCAACUACUACUAAAAUAACAAGUCUCUUAAAGAUACACUUUCUUUGCGUAUUCAAUACUCCCUUUGUUCCUAAAUAUAUGAUGUUUAGUUAAAACACACAUAUUGAGAAAAGUUAACUUUUAUCUGAAAAAUAACAUUAAAAUUAUAAAUUAAUGAUAUUCAACCAAUUACAAAAUAGAUUAUUAAACAUGAUUGGUUGCACAAUUUUUAAUAAAAUAAAAGUUCCAUAGAAAAAUGAAAACAUCUUAUAUAUUAAAACAUUAAUUUUUUUUAAACAUCAUACUUUUAGGAGUAGAGGGAGUAUAUAAGUGAGUGUUUUCUAAUAAAAUAUUUCAUUUGUUUUAUUUUAAUUGUCGUUUUAGAUUUGUACACACAAUAAAAAUAUAUUUAAUUUUGUAUAUUUUCUAAAUUAAAAUCAUUAUUUCUCGUACAUAUAAUCAUAUUUCAACCAAUAGAAAAAUAAACUAAAUAAUAUUGUUAAUAAAUUUUGUAUUGAAAUUCUUAAAACAUACUUCCUCCGUUCCUUAAUGAUAGACUUUUUAGAAAAAAAAAAGUUUGUUUCACAAAGAUGUAUUUUUGAAUUUUUUAUGAAAAAUUGUAAAUUUCAAGAAAAUUAAUUGACUUUAUUGAAUUACUAUUGGUUAAAAGUUAUUGAAAAUUAAAAAUUACAUAAAACGAUACAUUUAUUAUGGUAGUUUAAUGUGUUUUCUUAAUAUGUAUGAAAAUACUAAAAAGUCUAUCUUUGUAGAACGGAAGAAAUAUUUAUUUUGUAAAGAAAAUUUAUUGACAAUUAAACUGAAACGAAACUGCGUAUGAUUAAUACAUAAAAUGAACAUGCUUCCGAGAAGAAAAUUGAAUAGUUUACUGUGGAUUGUUUUCACAUCGGACUCUGGUAACUCAAACUUCGAGAUGUCAUUAUGUCUAGUUCAGGUGCUGGUGACAAUAUAUAUAUAUAUAUAUAUAUAUAUAUAUAUAUAUAUAUAUAUAUAUAUAAAUUCUUCUCAUUUUGUUUUACUUAUUAGUUCUCAUUUUGAGCAAUACAUUUCAUAUUUAAGUAUAUGGAAUUCAUAUGGUUGAUGUGGACAACAGAUGGUUUAGAGGAGCUUAUAAUAUUUUGUAAAAAAAUUGUAUAAAAUUUAUAUGUGGAUUAUAUGUUACAUGGAAUGAGAAAAGGGCCAUACUUAUUGAAUGUGAGGAUAGCAAAUAAUGUUGAGCCAAUUGGGUAUCCAAGAGCCAGAAAGAAGAUUGUCCAUGAUAAAAAAAUAAUAAUAAUUGAAAAAAUCGACACUCGAUGUUUGAAGUUUGGCUCUUUAGAUAUGUAGAGUCACUCACUACACAGAAAGGAGCUGGCCACUCCCAUGUGAAAAUGACUAAUUAACUUUUCUUUAUUUAUACAAUCUUAUUCGUAAUGGGAUUCGGUUCAUUUCUGUAUAUUGAAGUAGUUAACUUAACUGAAUGUUCCCAAAAGAAAAAAAUAGUUAACUGAAAGAAACAUGGAAAUAUUAAAUAGACAACUAAAAGUUUAGAAAAUACUAGCUAGCAAAAUAACAUCCAAAAUAUCCAAAAAUAUGAAGAACUAUCAAAACUUAUUUGAAAUAUCCGUAACAUAAAUAUAGCUAAUCUUUAUUGUGUGACAUGAAACAUGCGAAUCAUCGUUAAAAGUUUUGAUUAUUGGAAGUUUAGUGUGAUUUUUAGAUGUCAGUUUCAAAUGCAUGCAUUGCUCGCACCCGAAAUUAACCGCGGUUUAGAGCUGUCAAGUUUUCAAAACUGACAAAAAAAAACUCGUGCAAGAUAACAUGAUUGAUAUUCAACGUAGAUUUUGUUGCUACUAUACCAAUGAAUCCAGAUGACGGCCUAUAAAAUUCAGGGAUUUAAUAGUGGGCUCCAAGCCCGCAUGUUGAAUUAGAUACAGUCCAUGUAAGACUAUAUUAAACCGACAUAAUCAUCAUUUUAUUACUAAUUGUAUUUCAUUAACCAUCAUAAGCUGGUCACAGAGUCACUGUGGUUCCUAAAUUGGGAGGUCAUGUGCAUUGAAUUGUUAUAGGUUUGUCUGUAGAUGUUUUUGUGGUGUUCUAGUUUCCUUAAGCUGCCCUGGUGUGGACUGAUAGGUUCUUUCUCAACCGUAGUUGUUUUGUUGUCCGUAAGUUGGGCUCAAGCUAUUCCGUUGUGGGCUAAAGUUGCCUCUCCUUUGGGCUUUUGUAACAAACUCUUGAAUAAAUAUUUUCAAAAGGAAAAAAAAAAAGUCACAUGACUCGUCCGUAUCGGACCAGACCUGGUCUGGGAUUACCGCAACUCGCAACAUCUCUAACAAAACCAAACCACCUCUGACGUGCCUGCCUGUAAUUUGGCAGCGUCUAAAACACAUGAACAUUCUUCACUUUCCACACAUAUUCAUCAAAAGUUUUACAAUAGAAUCUUCCAGUGGAACAAGUAUAAAUUAAUCUUGAUUGAUAAAUUUAAAAGGACUUUUGGAGCAGUUAUCAAAAUCACAUCUAUAAAAAAAAAUUGAAUCACAUUUAGAAUCAAAAGUAAGAAUGAAAGUUACUUCAUAAACUAAAUAGCUUGAAGAACAAGAUAUAGAUGCAAAAGUUUAUUUAUUUAUUUUCCCAUUUUUAUCUUUCUACAGUCAGUAUGUACAGCAUCAUUAUCAUCAUAUCAAAUCAGAAACAGAUUAAUAGACACUAUACCGAAAGAUAAAAAAGGACAAACAACUACAUCUACUCAUUACAUACUCAAAGAUCAUCAGUAGGAAGCGCAAACCGACAAACAGGGCAUGUGUUCUUCAUCUCUAACCAAGGUACAAUACACUCUCCAUGAUAGUAAUGCCAACAAGGAAGCCUAGUAACUUUCUCCUUCACCACGAAAUCACCCAUGCAGAUGGCGCAAGCAAUCUUCCCGUUGCGCAACUCCUCAGAGUUGAUCUCCACAACAGGAAGCUCAUCCACAACCCUUUUCGACGCAGCACGAGUAGCCAUGACCGGAGGAGGCUCGAAAAUAUCAUCAAAGUAAUCUCCAUGGUAUUCACCACCAAGUCCAGGUAAAAUAUCUAGAAGCUCUUCCUCAGUCAUAUCCAUAAUAGAACUGUCUUCAUAAACGUUCAUCAUAAAAUCCUCUAGAGAUUCUUCAUGAACAUUAAAAUCUUCAACUAAAGCAUCAUUGUUAACAGGUACAGAAUAUUCUUCUUCCUCCUCCUCCUCCUCAGACUCUUCCUCUUCCUCUUCCUCUUCAAUAAGAUCCGUACCAACUUCGACCCGACCCGAAUCAGUUUCCUUAUCCCCCGUAACCGACCCGGCCCCGAUUCCGAGCGUUAAUUCUAUCUCCACAUCCUCCUCCAUGGCGUCGUCGAAUCCUCCGGAGAUAUCUACACCACGCGAGACACGUUGCAUCUCGUGCGACUCUCGGCCGAAGAAAUCGAUGAAGGAGCUACGCAGAUCCGAUUCCGAAUCCAUGGGAGCCGGUCCAGACUCUGAGAAGCCGGCGGAUGAGUUCAUGGCGUCGCCGUCGGGUUGGGCAGCAGAUCGAGAAUUGGUUGAGCUACCACCACCACGUCCACCGUCUUCUUCGACGUUAAUUGGAAAACCGAAGAGUUUCGCCAUUGCUUGGAGAGAAGAGAGUUAAAAAAUCUAUAUUGCGAGAAGGAUUCGAAAUAUACCACUUAAGGAUUAUGGAUUUUACGAGGAUGUGUCGUAUCUUAUUUAUAUGUUUGGGCCAAUAUCGUGGGGGUGAAAAAACAGUCAAAUAAAUAAUAAAUUUAUACUUUUUUACCAAAAAUAAGGUACGAGCUCUUCGUUAAUGAACAUGUAUUGACUAUGCUAAAUUAGAUGUGUUUUUAAUUAAUAUUAAUUUUUAUUUAAAUGACAUUUAUUUUGUUCGCAUAAAUUAAUUACGACGAUAUGAUUGGGCUAAUAUUGGGGUGAGAAAACAGUCAAAUAAAUAAUUUACUUACACACUUUUACCAAAAAAAAGAUGUGAAUUCUUCGUCAAUGAAUUUGUAUUUACUAUGCUAAAUUAGAUGUAUUUUAAUCAAUAAUAAUUUUUACUUAAUCGAUAUUUAUUUUAUUCACAGAAAUUAACUAUGACGGUGUAUUUUAUAUGUUUGGACCAAUAUUGGGCCGAGAAAAUACGGUCAAAAAUAUAUUGAACUUACACACUUUUACCAAAAAAAGGUAUGAACUCUUCGUUAAUCCAAGAAAACAUAUGAAUUUGUAUUGACUGAGCUAAAUUAGGGGUAUUUUUAAUUAAUAUUAAUUUUCAUUUAAUCGACAUUUACUUUGUUCACAUAAACUAAUUACGACGGUAUGUUUAGGCCAAUAUUGGGGUGAAAAAACAGUCAAAUAAAUAAUGCACUUAUACACUUUUACCAAAAAAAAAGGCAUGAAUUCUUCGUCAAUGAAUUUGUAUUGACUGAACUAGAUGUAUUUUAAUCAAUAUUAAUUUUUACUUAAACGACAUUUAUUUUAUUCACAUAAAUUAAUUAUGACGAUGUAUUUUAUGUGUUUGGACCAAUAUUGGCCCGAGAAAAUACAGUCAAAAAUAUAUUAAACUUACACACUUUUACCAAAAAAAGAUACAAACUCUUCGUUAAUUCAAAAAAAAUAUAUGAAUUUGUAUUGACUGAGCUAAAUUAGGUGUAUUUUUAAUCAAUACUUAAUCGACAUUUAUUUUGUUCGCAUAAAUUAAUUACGAUGGUAUGUUUGGGCCAAUAUUGGGAAUGAGAAAACAGUCAAAUAAAUAAUGCACUUACACAUUUUCACCAAAAAGGCAUGAAUUCUUCGUCAAUAAAUUUGUAUUGACUGAACUAAAUUAGAUGUAUUUUAAUCAAUAUUUAUUUUUACUUAAACGACAUUUAUUUUGUUUGCAGAAAUCAAUUAUGACAAUAUAUCGUAUAUGUUUGGGCCAAUAUUGGACUGAGAAAAUAGUCAAAUAAAUAAUGCACUUAUACACUCAUACCAAAAAAAAAGUACGAACUCUUAGUCAAUAAAUUUGUAUUGACUAAGCUAAAUUAGAUGUAUUUUAAAUCGAUAUUUGUUUUGUUCAUAUAAAUCAAUUAUGACGGUGUAUGUUAUACGUUUGGGCCGAUAUUGGACUGAGAAAACAGUCAAAAAGAAGAUACGAACUCUUUGUCAAUGAAUUUGUGUUGAUUGAGCUAAAUUAGAUGUAUUUUUAAUCAAUAUUAGUUUUCACUUAACUGAUAUUUAUUUUGUUCACAUAAAUCAAUUAUGACGGUGUAUCUUAUAUGUUUGGGCCAAUUUUGGGCUGAGAAAAUAGUCAAAUAAAUAAUGCACUUAUACACUUUUACCAAAAAAAAGAUACGAAUUUUUCGUCAAUCCAAAAAAACAUAUGAAUUUGUGUUGACUGAGCUAAAUUAGGUGUAUUUUUGAUCAAUAAUAAUUUUCACUUAAACGACAUUUAUUUUGUUAACAAAAAUUAAAGAACUUCAUUUUGCUAAAAUAUAAAAAAAACUAACAAAAUUCACUGUAAAAUAGUUAUUUUACUAAAAAAACACUGAUCCAAAAGAUAUAAACUCGUUUUCGGUUAGGAUUUUGUAUUGUUGAUACAUAUAUAAUUUAUCUUAACCAAAAUAAAUAUAAAUUUUUGGAUCAAUGAAAAUUUCAUACUUCUUAGCAAAAAUGUGUAAUUUUAAUAUUUUUGCGGUGAAUUUUCUUAAUUUUUUUUUAUUUUUAGCAAAAUAAAGCCGUUUUAAUUUCUGCUAAAAAGUAAAUGUUGGUUAAGUGAAAUUUAAUGUCGAGUAAAGUUGUAUCUAAUUUGGCUCACUCAACACAAGGUCAUAUGUUUUUUGGUUUAACGAAGAUUACAUGUGCCAAAAAAUGUGUGAAUUCAAUAUUUAUUUGGCCCAUGUAAUAGCUGCAGAAAUUAAACAGUUUUGGACAUUUAAAAAAAGUCUAACGCCGGUGCCGGGCGAGUGAAUACUUACCACUAUACUACAACGACCUUUUGAUGACUACUCUGUUUAAUAUUUAUUUUGUUGCACACGAUCUUAGUUAAUGUCUCUAGUUUAGUGACUACUUCUUAUUCGAUUGAAUGCAGCCGAGACUGUCUGACUGUCUCUGUUCGGAUUCAGUGGUUUAAAGAUAUCAUGAAACUACUAAAUACGAUAAAAAAAAAAUCUGAGAUUUAAAAGUUCAAUAUGUGUGCUUUGAACAAAAACGCAGAACAUGAUGAAUAGUGUUUCAAAUGAAAAAAAAAAACAAAUCUUUUGCAGUUCAAAAUCUAAAGUUCCUUGUGUAAACAUUAACCUUCUAUGAUGAUGAGGCAAUAACCUCUGUUAUCUUCUGACGUUUCAUGUCUGGCUCAUCCUCAAUGUUACCUUCUUUCUCCUCUUCUUCUCCUUCUUCACCUCCUGCUUCCUUGUGGCCAUUGAGAUGGCUGUUCACAGCUUCAUGACCAAUAAGCGACACGUGUUUGCUUGUGAUUUGACGUCCAGCCCUCACCUUUGGUCCCCAGUGCUUCUCCGGGUUCGGCAGAAACCUCGCUACUUUCUUCACCUGUGCUUUGCUUAGUGAACCAACGUGGCGCGAAAAGUCAGCCUGUCCAAAAGAAAAACAUUUUGUUUUAAGAUUAUAAUUUAACUUAGCAUUACAACAAUGGCAAAACGAAAGAAGAACCUGAUGAGACGGUUCUUUAGACAGAAUCACACUCCCUGGAUGGUCAGGUGACUGAGCCUUCACAGGAUGAUUCUUCACCUAUAACACCAAAACAGUUUUAAUCAGUAUCACCGGCCAAGAACACAGUUAAAAAAGCUUAGUUUUACCCAGCAACGCAUGAUGUCCCAGAUAAUCUCCAUAGGAGCAUCAGUUUUAAUCCCGAGAGGGUUCACAUGUGUCCCGGAGACACGGUACUUCGCAUUGAUCACCGCUGAUCUAAACAUAGCAGCUGAAGGCGAAGUACAUUUCAGCGUUGCAGCGAGAUUGUGAAGGCUCAAAAAGAGCGGAACAUCUGGCAAUUCCUCUGAGAUUGUGGUGAGCAUAGAGCAUAUCUUGUCGUAAGCAGGGUAUCUAUCUUUCAUGGACUUAACACCGUUCAGUAUCGAAGUCACCCAUUCUUGAUCAUGCAUUGGAGCAGACCAUAUCGGCCCACCCAUGCUGUAUUUCUUCCCACAGUGAGUGCAGUCCUGUGGAACAACAGGACCAAGUCCUGCUUGAUACCUCACGCUGUUAUGCUGCAAACAAAAAAAAGGAUUAUAAAUAAAGUCGAGUUUCAGAAACUAAGUACGCAAAGAGAUAGACAUGAAACCUUAGGGAGAGAUCUUCCAACGGACUGGAGAUGAAAGGAGUCACAGCCAAUGCACUGAUAGACGUAUGAGAGCUUUAGUGGAGUGUUCUUCAUUGCACUCGCCGAACUGCAUUUCAUAAAAGGUUAAAAUCUUUUACUUGCUUUCUAGCUGAGGGAAGUGUUUGUUGAGAAGAGAGAAACAUACGUGUAAACGCGGACGAAAACACGGGCGUAGAAAUCAAUUUGGACUGAUAGAACAGGAACUAUAUACCGCUUGUAGCGGUUAGCAUGGCUCUGCAAAACUCAAACAAUAUGACCAAAGUCAAUAGAUUGAAGAUAUACUAAUAGAGAAUCUUAAACAAUUACCUCAAUGCUGGCGAGGAGGAUCCGUAAAGCCAUCUCAUGACAAUAUUUGCCUUUCAGUGGAUAGGAACCAUAUCUAAUAAUGGACAUGUUUAAGAGAUUAAGACAAAACCAUAUAUAGUAUUUGUCUUGAGAAUAAGGUAAUAUAUACUUACUUGGAAUAGCAAACCUCGCCAUUAGCACCACACAACACUGCCAUGUCAGUUGCUGUACACAUGAGCAACCCACCAUCGGCAACUGACUGAACAGCUGAAUCAAGGAAGACAGACGGUGCACCAUAUGGAUCAAGAUCAACCUAAGACGUUAAUUAACCAAAUUAGUUAACACAACAAUAAGACAGUCAACAACAAGAUGAAAAACUUAGGAAACUGGAUACAUACCACAUCAUAUUCUUUAGGGUUGGUGAGCAUAUGGACACGAGCAUCAGUAAGAUGUGACUCCACCUUUGAAGUAGACAUCAAGCCGUUGAACUUUAUGUUUCUCUGGCAAGCUUCAACCGAUGCUUUUAUAGAAAAAAAUGAUAAUACUUUAUUAUUCUGAGAAAUUAAAACAAAAGUUGAUCAAAUGUUGGGAGAAAACAAGUACCUGGGUCAUUAUCUAAAGCCACAACUUGACCAAUUCCUUCAACUUCACGAGCAUAUCUCAAAGCCCGUAACCCGGAAGCUGACAGUGCCUAUAAUGUUAAGACCGUUAUCUAACAGGAAAGCACAACUAAACAAAGUACAGUUACUACAAUCAUAAAGGAAAGAAAAGAGGAUAGACCUCCAGGACUCUUGGCGGCUUGAGUUCCCUUCGGACCGGUUCAUACGUGGUCUUGGCAGCUUCCUUUGGUCCAUCCUUAGAUGAUGCUUCAUGUUCUUCUCCAUUGGUUUUACCAUUAUCCUCACCGUUUUCACUAGGAGCUGAGACAUCCUUUUCAACCACUUUACCAGAUGAUCUAGCUCUUUUAGAUAACAUCGCAUCAUGCUCUUGCUUGCGUUUGGAUAUAAACGCCCUUAGUACAGCAAUGGACAUGUCCCUAUUAUUCACCUAACCAUAACACCACAAUCAAUAAGUUCACCUCACAAAAGAACAAAAUAUUUCUAAUAAUACCAAAGUGUGUGUUACAAGUCUUUAUAUUCCUUUUGGUUUCUCACAAUCACAAAAUUAAACUAACACAUAACAGCUAACUACUAAAAAAUUAGAAGCAAAAGUACAUAAGCCCACAAAAAUAAUAAGCCCUUGAUGUAAUUCAAUCAAUUAUCAUCAAAAAAGAAGAACCUUUGCAGCAAAUUAAAUCCAAUAAGCAACAAAAAAAAAAAAGAAGAAGGCAAGGGACAUGAAACCUGAGCUUUGUUGAAGAAGACUUUGUUCUUGUUGUGCAUAAGAAUCUCAGCUUCUCCUUCCUUGAUAACUGUAUAAUCGUUUAGAUCUGUUGUCUCCAUUGCUGAUCUCAGACACUUCUCUUUAAGGGCGGAAGAUUCAGGAACUGAAUUAACAACACGAAUCUGUAAUAACCCGAACGGCGAAUCAAAAAGGUUGAAGAGAUGUCGACAACACUUGUCGGCUUGUCUGAACGAGGAUAGACGAAACGCUAUCGCUUCUUCUUUCGGUUGCUGUUUCAGAGAGAGAGAGUUGACGGAGUAAACAACCAAGUUUUUAAACCCUACAAGGCCAUAUGUGAUUUCGCGAUUUUCCUUUAAUUUUUUUUAUUGGGAUGAAAUUGAUUCUUUCGAAACGUACGGGGUGUAAACAAAAAUACUUAGAAAAUAAAGGAUUCAAUACAAAAACAAAAAAGAAAAACUAAUGGCCUAUACAGGGAUCGAACCUGUGACCUUCGCGUUAUUAGCACGACGCUCUAACCAACUGAGCUAAUAGGCCAACUUACUAUAUUCUAUGGUACAAACUACUUAGCUUUUCGACUUCAGGAUAUCAUUAUCAAGGUAAGGAGGGAGAGAAGAGGUGAGGAAAGGGAAGAAGAGAGAGAGGAUGCAGAGCUUAACAUCAAACGAAGUUGCGGGUUUCGCAGUUGGAGCUCUGCUUCUCGGCGCCACCAUCGCUGCUCCAAAAGUUGACGCUUUCAUUGCCGCUGCUCAGAGAAGGUAACACAAGUUUCAUUAUCUCAUUUCCUCAAUCAAUUCAUGUUCUGUGUGAUAAGCCAUGUCAUAAAGUAUCCGACUUUGGAUGUGAAUUGUUUCGCUGGUUAUAUGUUAUUGGCGUGUGAGAUGAUGUUGACGAUGAUGCUUGUAGUAAGUGGGGUUUUGAUUGUUUUUUUUAUUUUAUGUUCUCAGUUUGCUGAACAUGUGAAAAUGAUAAAACUUUAGGAGUUUCUUUGUGAUAAAUUGUUUGAUAUCUACCAAAAGGAUAGAUUCCGACAUCAAAAAGCCUCUGUUGGGUUAUGUCUUUUGUCUUGCACUCUCCAAUGGGUUCUUCUAAGUUUUCUCCACUAUUAAAAAGUAAUAAUUUUCUUGAAAUUCUGCAGUCCUCACUGAAAAAGUUUUAAAAUAUUCAGGUAUUGAAUGAUAGCUUCAUGUUCAAAGGAUUAAACUUGUUAUGAUUAUAGAUUCUGAAAGAAAAAAGAAACUGACUUUUGUAAUGGAGAGAGACUGUGUGCUAUAAAACUGUUCUAUAGCUGAAUGAAACUCUAGACUUGUUCUUGAAUAUAUUUCCAUACAAUCCUAUGUUUCUGAAAGAACAAAACAAAAAACAACUUUUGCAGGUCUCUUGGGAUGUGCACGAAGUGUGGAGAUGUAAAGAAUGUAGCCUGUGGUCGCUGCAAAGGGACAGGGUCGAUCAAAUCAGGAGGUAUCUUUGGAUUCGGUGAGCCAGAGCCAUCAUCAAACGCCAGAUCAGCCACUUGCGAUAAUUGCAAAGGCAGGGGUUGUUUCCCUUGCCCUGAGUGCUCAAAGUCUUGACUCCUUUUUUGGUUAUUCAAUAGAUUGCCUCAAGACUUCAAACAAAAAACUACUUGUUUCUUUUUCUUGACCUUGUGAUAAAUUCGUUUGAAAAGUAUGUUAUUGGCAGUUUGAUCAGCUGAACCGGAUGUUGGUGUAUUAUUGAUUUUGUUACUCUUAACCGGGUCUUGUAGCCCUUAAACCGGAUAAAUCCACUAAUCAAGAGCUCCUCUUGUCCUAUCUGUCUGUAAGCAACGGUAGCUACGUGCGUAUUAGCUACAGUGACUUCUUUUUUUUAACCAAUAAAACUCAAACCAACAUUUCAAGACGAAGAAAGUUGAUUGGUUGAAAACUGUUAAUAAAUUUGAUCAAACGUUUGAAAGAAAGCAAUGAUUUCUAGUCAAUUUUUAGAACUAAUAAUACUAUGGUAUUUCUAAAUUAAAUUAUGUAAGGGUAAAGAAUAAAUAAAGAAGACAAGUAGACAAGUCACUGUUAAAGAGGAGGAUUUGCCUCGGCGAUCACGCUUCCGAUAAAAGUCUAAUUCAAUCAUAACACGACACGUGUCCGUCAGACCACAUCACCCAUCUUGUUACUGUUAAGAUCUCUUUCCUACUGUCUUUUUACUUUUACCAUCUGUAAAUCCGUACGGACUUCCCAUGUCACCUGAAGGUUUCUCUACAACAGUAAAAAAUGGAGUUCUUUAAGCAUUUCAAUGGCGUGAUUUAAUAUCCUUAUUGAAUAAAACUUCAUGAAUCCAUAUAUAUUUGAAGCAAUUAGCAAUUGCAAUCCAGACAUACAUAUUCCACUCUUCGGAAUAAUAACCUUUAACAAAAGACGCGUACACUUCAUUUAAUUGACGUUUUGGAACUUUGACAGCGACUAUAUAAUCAAGGAGAAAUUUAAUAUAGGAAAACCAUAUGUAUAUUAUGUCCUCUUGUUAAAAUUUAGCUCCAUUACCGCAAAACCAUAUGUAUAUUCUGUCCUCUUGUUAGAAUUUAGCUCCAUUACCGACAUAUUAUCACACAGAGUUUCUAGUGUUGUAUUAGAAUUUUAGAAGAUGCAUGCAUUGAUAUAAUGUUCAUAUAUACAUGAAAACUAACCUCAAUUUUUUUUUUGAAAAUACAUAAAGACCAAGACUUUCAUGCUAUGUAAUUAAAGAACAUAUGAAUGACAAUCCGCACUUGAUAAUUUUACAAAAAAAGCGUCAUGAUAAAUGUGCACUAGCUAGCAUAAGCUAUGGUAAAAAUCGCGCUAAUUAAGAAGUAAAAUAAGCAAAUAUUACUUGCAUAUCCAUGCAAUUUCACACAGGCAUCUUGAGUAUGCACUGCAUUUCAUAGUAUGACUUCUGAACUGUACAGCGACGGCUUGAGCUUGCCUUUAAUACGAUUAUUUGCUAGUUUACUUUCCAAAGCUCACAUUUUUCUAUCUAUCUUGUUCUUGGCCUAAACGAGUCUAAGGGCAUCAUUAUUGCAAGUCCUUGUGCUUAGGUCCUUAAUAUAUAUAUAUGUAUAUGUAUAUAUUAUAUAUGCGUAUAUAAUUGUGGGUUAAGGACUUUACGGAAACCCAAGCCGAAAGUUUCUUAAUUAAGAGACUUUCGGUUUGGGUUUCCGUAAAGUCCUUAACCCACAAUUAUAUACGCAUAUAUAAUAUAUACAUAUACAUAUAUAUGUAUUAAGGACCUAAGCACAAGGACUUGCAAUAAUGAUGCCCUAAUAACUAAAACUUUUCCAAACAACUUUUUAUUCCCAAGUUUUUAACCGGUCGUAGGCUCGCUCGCAACUUCAUAAUCAUAACUUGAAAACAAAAGUAAAGCAUAAGUGCGCAAGUUGUAGUAGAUAUGAAUAUGAUGCGCGUGAUAUUGUGAAUAUACCUUUAAUUUUUUUGUUUUCCAAACUAAUGCAGUAAAUGAAAGCAACGUAUCAUAUCAUUUUCUGGUUGUUUUCAGAAGCAGCAGAAAAAUAUCUACUACCUUAAAAUGGGUUUUCACGUGUCGAUUUCUUAUUGGAUAUGACUAUUCUUCAUUUAUAAAUUAAGUUUAAACCAUCAAGUAACAACAAUGACAGUAAAUUUGUAAACAUAUUUUCCUAGCUAGUAUCUCUUUAUACAUACGUAUUUAGUCACCACGUAAGAGUGUAACUUCAAUUUAUAUACACACAUAAUGCAUCGACCACGAGUAUGUAUAAACUAUACCAAUUUUCUUAACAUAUAUUAAAAAAAUUGACUUAUAGAUGUGAUAAUCGACCUUUAAGCCGCAUGUGUUUAGUUACGAGUCAAACAUCAUAAGUGAUACGUUUUCUAAAAAGGUUGUUUCAUCACAUUUAACAAAACAUAAACGAUUUGUUAUUAUGAUAUAAACAUAGAGUUCUUAAGAAACAAUAUGUUUAGAUAUUUUUGUAUAAUGUCAGGCAUAUACACCUAAAACAGUAGACAACAACAUAUAUAUGCAUAUAGGCAUGAAUUCUACCUGAAGAGAAGCACACAUAUAUUUUUUUCUAAAUUAAAUAAAUUACAACUCCAAAAUAUUCCCUACAAGUUAAAAAUUACCCAUCAAUUUGGUAAUAAAUCGAUUGAGAAGGUAAAAAAAAAAUUGAAUGCAAGUAAAUCAAGCUGAACCACGCGCCUAGAGAGAGCGUGUGGAUGGUUUUAUCUUUGUCAAAGAAGAGAUGGCUUGAAAUGCAACACACCAAACCCUAACCUCAGCUUCACAAGUUUCUUAUCUUCUACUCCCACUAGAUUCUAUUCUUCAAAAGAAACUUCAAUUAGGCUCACAACCACCUCCACACACUUCCAAAAACAAAGAACCCUAAACUCAAAAGGUUCUUCUUUCUUCUUCUUCUACCUUACAGUUUCUUGUUCUUGAAACUUAGGGUUAAUUUUUUUUUCUCUCUCAAAUCACUUCUCCAGACCUUAAAGAUCAGAUCUUUCCUCAGAAAAAGAGAUACCCGAGUCAUGUUUUUGUGUGUCUGAAUAUAGAUAAGACAUCACAUAUCGAUAUAUAUAUUUGUGUGUGUAAAAGAGGAAACAAAGAAAAAAUGGGAAGGGGAAGAGUAGAGCUGAAGAGAAUAGAGAACAAAAUCAACAGACAAGUAACGUUUGCUAAACGUAGGAACGGUCUGUUAAAGAAAGCUUACGAGUUGUCUGUUCUUUGCGAUGCUGAGGUGGCUCUCAUCAUCUUCUCCAACCGUGGCAAGCUCUAUGAGUUUUGCAGCUCCUCAAAGUAAAUCACUUUCCCUCUCUCUCUCAUUUUUUAACUUUUUUUCAUUGGUUUUUGCUAGAUCUGAGCAUAGAUCUUUGUCUGUUGGGAUAUAUCACACGAUCUUGAUGUCUAUGAAAGUGUUGAGCUUUAUUAGAUUUCUUGAUUCGUAAUAUUAUGACAUCUUGAAAAUUUAAGAUCUGAUCUCUUUUUUUUUUGUUAUAUUUUUGUCAAAUAUUAAUUAGCUGAUGAGAAGAGUUUGCAAUCAAUUUAUGUUUUAUAUAAAUAUAUAUGUGUGUGCGUGAUUAGAAAUUAACUUAAAAGUUGUAAACACAGAUCUCUAUGGAAAUAAGGAUCCAACGUAGAAUGAUAAUAUAUGGUUCCAUGCAUUAACCGACUGUUAGUUCAUACUUUAUGGUGGUUAAAACUUAAAACGUGUGUGUAUAUUUCUAUGAAAGUUCUUUUCUUUAAAAAAAUUGUUUUCUUUCGUUUUGUGUGUAUAUGUUUUAUAUAUUGAAAUGGUCUAAUUACAUUAAAGGAUAACCAAAAUAUAAUUGUUGAAAAUAUUAUUUCCAUGUGUGGAUCGCAGAACUCAAACGAAAAAAAAUCCAUGUGUUAAUUAGUACAUAUGAGGAUAAUCUUUAAAUUUGAUAGGAAAGAUAAUCUUUAAGUAUGAUAGGAAAAAUCUUGAUUAAAAAGUUAAGAGCUCAAAGUAUGUGGAUAUUAUAAAGACAAGCUAGCUAACGUGUCUGAUUAUUGAUGAUGAGGUUAGGUUUGUGUCAUAUUCUGUCAAGUAUAUGAUCUUCUUCUUUGAUUACAAAAUUCUUAUCCUCUUAAUUUAACUUGUGUGGUUUUCGUUUCAGCAUGAUCAAGACACUGGAACGGUACCAGAAAUGCAGUUAUGGUUCUAUUGAAGUCAACAACAAACCUGCCAAAGAACUUGAGGUGUGCUCUUUAUAUAUUUUAGGUUUAUAAAUCACAUCAUUUUCAAGAAAGUUCCUUUUAAUGAAUUUGUUUUUUUUUCCUUGGGAGUUUCAGAAUAGCUACAGAGAGUAUCUGAAGCUUAAGGGUAGGUAUGAGAGCCUUCAGCGCCAGCAAAGGUAGAGAUCUCUCUCUCUCUCUCUAUCUCUCUUUAUAUAUACACACAUGUCGUUCAUAUUAGUGUAUUUGUGUUGGUGCAAGGAAUCUUCUUGGGGAGGAUUUAGGACCUCUCAACUCAAAGGAACUAGAGCAGCUUGAGCGUCAACUAGAUGGAUCUCUCAAGCAAGUUCGCUCCAUCAAGGUCAUAUCCAUAAAGCUAUUUAUAGACAUUGAAUGAUUCAAAUGAGAUUUGUGUAGUGAAAUUAAUGUUUUUUUUUUGUUUCAUUAUGAAUACUAUUGCAGACACAGUACAUGCUUGACCAGCUCUCUGAUCUUCAAAGCAAAGAGCAAAUGUUGCUUGAAACCAAUAGAGCUUUGACAAUAAAGGUAAAUGCAUUUUGAUGAAUUAGAUCCUGUUACUGGUAUCAAUAUAUUUCACAGCCUUUGAAGUUAUUAACAUUUUGGUGUAAAUUUUUUUUAAUUAGCUGGAUGAUAUGAUUGGUGUGAGAAGUCAUCAUAUGGGAGGAGGAGGAGGAUGGGAAGGCAAUGAACAGAAUGUUCCGUACGAGCAUCAUCACCAAGCUCAGCCUCAAGGACUAUUCCAGCCUCUUGAAUGCAAUCCUACACUGCAGAUAGGGUAAAUGCAUGCUUGUCUACUUCGCUACUAAGAUUUGUCUUUGUUUGAGGUUCUUUAGUUUCUUGGUAUUAAGAGGACCAUAUAAUUUACGUGAUAUGAUGAUGAUGAUAACAGGUAUGACAAUCCAGUAGGCUCGGAGCAGAUAACUGCAACAACACAAGCUCAGGCGCAGCCAGGAAACGGUUACAUCCCAGGCUGGAUGCUCUGAGUGUCACAUUAUGAGAGUCAAUGUGAUCAACCUCACCAAACAAAAGAUCUGUUUUAAAAUAAUAAAUAGUAGUAUAGACACCAGACUUGGAUUUAUAUACAUAAGAAAGUGGCUAUGUAUAAUGUCCUAAGGAUCUGGCAGGACUUAAGUGUCUUUUGGGAAACCUUGCUACAUAUUUAAGGAUUGAAAUGUGUGGAACUUGUUUUACCUUUUGAAUCUAAUUACUUAAGUACUGCACAAAUCUAAUGGCGAAGGCGAACAUUGUAGAUUACAAUCUUGGGACCUCUCCUUGAAUGUAAACUAAAUUAUAAACCGUCACACAUUAAUAAAAGGGUUCAUACAAGAUGAUGUAAAAAAGUUUAAUGCUUCCUUGGACAGAACAGUGUAGAACAUCAGAUUUCUGUGUCUUUUGUUGUUGUUGUUGUGAGUGUUUCCUCAGAACUCAAUAAUCUAACUUUGCAGAGCUUACAUGUCUUCAUUUUUUGGUCAAUAUAUAUACACACAAAAUGUUGUUAAUAAAACAGUAAUUUACAGAUCAAAGCAAUUUGCACAUCUCUGUGUUCCCUUGUUGAUCUCCCCCUCUUUUCAGUCUAGACAAGAUCAGUGAUGAUCACUCACGGUGUUUCGUUGAACUCCAUCACCUGAGAGAAUGAGACAGAAACACAGCAGAGGGAACUUAUUAUUUAAUCAAACUUGCAUUGACAAAACAAUGCAAAUGUUCAGAGUUUCAUGAAGAAUGAUUAGCUCUAUUACCUUCCCACAAACAGGGCAGUCCUCGCUUCUCUCCAUCCACUCAUAAAUGCAACCGAGGUGGAAAUGGUGAGAACACUUUGUAACAAUCUUCGGGUUCUCUGAUGUGUACUCUGCACAAAAAAAGAUCCGAUACUUAGCUUCCCUUCAAAUGCAUUUACGGAAGAAGAAAAUGAAUACCUUCAAGACACGUUGGACAAACAUCUUCAUCAUCAGACAUUACAUACACACCAUCAUUCCCACCAGCAUCCAUUGACUUCGACUUAACAAUCCUCCGAGUGAAUUUAGAGAAGUCAUCUUUAGAAUCUUCACCAGAGACCAUAAGCUUACUACUAGCCCAUUUGCUUCCUUCCACUGAGAAAGACUCAGAGUCCACAUCAGCAGCAUCAUGACUUCUCAAAGGCUCAGCUUCCUCACGCGAAUGACUUGAACCCUUAUCGCGUCUUGAGACAAGCCGUGAACGGAAGAAGCCUGGAUCAGCGUCGUAAGGCAGAGGCCUUGGAGUAGAGUGGAAGGUGGUAGACAUGAAGUUAUCAUAGGAAGAAGAGGAAGUUAUGGAUACAGUGGUGGUGGUGGUAGUAGCUUGUAAGGAGGAUGGGAGAGAGCGGGUUGUUUCGUUUCUUCUAAACAAAGUGAUAUACUGCCAAGAGACAGAGAAACAAAUACUCAGAGCUCAACUUUAAAAAAAAAACUAGCAGUUGUGAAAAAAAAGGAGAAACAUUACCAGGUUAAGUAAGCUGUUAACAAGACAUCUCGGGCAAGGGUUGUUUCUAUUUAUAGAACUACUUGGGUUCGUGUAGUCCUCAUAGUCUUCCACCCGGAAGCAAGAAGAAACACAUCCCAUUUUUUUUCUUUUCUUGAAAUGUUAACUCCAAGAAACUCACCCACAACACUGAGAAUUACUAAAAAACCAUAAAGUUUGAAACUUUUGGGAAAUUCCUUAAGCCUCCACCAAAUUGUAGAAUGAUCUGAUGAUUCUGAUCACAAAGAAAAAAAGAGAGUGUAUUUGAUAAAUUAGCAAGAACUUACUAACUAAGCACAUAAAGGUUGUUCCUUUGGACAAACAAAAAAAAAGAAAAGUCGAGGUUUUGCAUUAAGCAAAUUAAACAGUUGAAAGUUGAAAUCUAAUUUAGGUAAAUCCCUAACAAACUCAAUAAAACAGAGAAACAUAUUAAUAUUAAAAAAAUAACCCACUUGGGGUUAAACCGAGUCCUCACGAUGGUUGACUAAUCAGGAUCGAUCAUCAGAGCUCAUUAUCCACAGAAGAACAUUUUUUUUUUCUUAAGAAAAAAACAGAGGAAUGGGACGAAGACUAUACCUUUAACAAAACGAAUUCGAUCGGCCUCGACGGAAGAAAAGAGACAGAACGGACCCAAAUCCAAUUUUGAAAACAAAACUAAAAAAAGUUAGAAGCACUAUAAUAGCUUUAUUGGAGGAAUUUUCCUCAGUUUUUAUCUUUUUUUUAAAAAAAAAGGAAACAAUUCGUCAGCGAGAAGAAGGAUUGAAGAAAAAGGGAGGAGUGUGAUGAAGUUGGUGAGAAGGUGGGUGGGCCUUCUUGCUGGCUGCCAUUAGAGUGUGGAGUCUUUAGUUAUUAAACAAAAUGGUUUUUCUUUUCAAAACAAAGUUAAUUGAAAAAUGCCAAACAGACUUCUAAAUAAGUUGCAAUUAUUUUUGGUUGUAAGUGCAUAAUUGAAGAUUUGUUUUUGCAUUUUUUCCAAAUACUUGCAUGUAUAUAUUCUAUAAACACUUGAGUGACGCUAUGGUAAUAGUGUUAAUUAUAUAUUCUAUAAACAGCUGUGUAAAUUGUAAUAGUGCUACUAAGCAAAUUAUUGUUAUUCUUUCCACAUCAAGAUUGAACACAACUUUUUUUUUAAUCUCUACCCUUUUUAAUCUUUCUUUUGUAAUUUAGGUCCAUCAUUUUAGCUUUCACUGAUGAUUUAGAGAAUAGUGGUGUAGUACAUUUUUAGAAAUGUAUACAACAAGAUUCAAAGGCAGGAAAUCAUCAUGGGUUAAUGUUCAACAAACAGUUGGGCUUUUUGGUCAAUCAGCCCACAUCAUGGAAUGGGUAAGAGUAAGACCAAGGUUUACCUACAUUUUGGGUUAAUUCGAUAUGUAGUCCUGUAUUUGAUUGAAUUUUAAUCUUUAAAGUUACAAAUGUUUGUCCUGUUAAGAAUUUAAAAUGCUUUUUCCACAUAUAUUUUUACUUUAACAUGUGAAUUGAUUAAAAGAUCCCUUAAUUGUGUAUUUUGUCAACAUUUUCAUACAUUUUACACAAUCCCGUGGUCGAUCUAUAAUCCAUUUCAGUGCCUUUGUUUAUUCAUUUCUCGUGAAUGUCUGAUGGUUUAGCAUAUACGGCGUCCUGUGAAAAACAAACUAAACAGAUGUAAAAAGAAUUAAAACGAAAACUCCAGAAGAACAUUCACAUUCUUUGAUUUAUUUUACUGAAUUGAAUUCUCUUGUCUUUAUCAAGAAUGAUUAUUUAUUCUUUAUAUUUUUACCAAAAAAAAGAAUGAUUAUUUAUAUACACACAAGAAGACAGUAGUAAGAAUUGGGUAUAUACUAUAUGGUUUGUGUGGACAUCCUUUGUGUCUCGUGAAUCGACAGAGACUCUCCAACUGUAUUCACUUCCCCAUUCUCAUUCCCAUAAUGCUUCACUUUCAUAAAUUCCAGUUCUUGUUUCCAUUGUUAAAGAAAAGAAAAAACUACAGUUACUCAAGUCUAGUUAUCACACUAGUCUCAUUGGUUACAGCUAUAUCACGAAAUCUAAAAAAACACAUGUAUAAAUCAAAUCAUAUGUGAAAAUCCCUACUCUUCUAAGAAUGUUUUUGUUAAUAGAUUGUAUUUGUAGGUACGUGUAAGUGUAACUUUAACAACAUUACAAGCAUAUUGUAUCUAGUUUGUAAUAUUGGAUGAUUUCGAUAUAUUUAAAUCUGCUUGUUAGACUGUUGCUGAUAUGUUAAUGUUUGUACUCUUCACUUUCAAAGCUAGGACAAAAUACAUAUAAAGAUUCUUGUUUCUUGAUAGCAUUAUGAAACAAAGUAUAAACAGAUCAUAUAUAACAUGUAAUUUGUUGCAUUAGAGUUAUUCUUGUGUAAUCAUCUAGAUCCAAGCUUGCUAAAAUGCAUAAUGCUUGCUGUUAAUAAAAAGGAAUUGAACUAACAAUAUUUUCUUCGUACUACCAUGAUCUGUAUUUAUAUCUUUAGGAAAAUUAUAUUUCAUUAAAAAUAAUAACGUGGGGAAGCUAUUACCAUGCAAGCAUCAAUCUAAUCGACACGCGAACAUGAAUCCAAAUAUUGUUUGUUGUCUUUUUCUCACCUCUUACUAUUUUCUUACAAUAAUUUAAGCUUUUAGAGCUGUAGAAAGAUAAGAAAUAUUAGUCACAGGACACUAUAGUAGCUUUGUAGUUUGGAAGCUAGACUUGUAUUUUUCCCAUGAUUCACAUUAACAAAACGAAGAGAUAAGCUUUUGCUACAAUCUCAUCUUUUUUUGUGGCUCACUCAUCUUCACACAACAACUCUAUAUAAAUCCCUCCUUCAUCGAUUACUUUCUGUUUCAUAAUAAAGAGAUAGAGAGAGACUUAUUCGAUAACUAUGGAGAUAACAACGACCUUCACGGUUUUGUUUACUCUUAUGAUUUUCUUAGGAAUCUCUAUCAAUGGAGGUUUGUCUCAAGGACAUCAACAUCUUGUCAAGAAGACACGUUCUUCUGCGGUUGUAGUAGGAACUGUCUACUGUGACACUUGUUUCAACGGUGCCUUUUCGAAAUCACACAACCACUUGAUCCCAGGUUUGUUUGUUUGUUUUUUCUUCUUAAUUGUGUUUCACCGGUUCUUGUUUAAGAUCUCGAUCGGCUAAAGUCAGUUUGUUGGAUCUUGUUGCAGGUGCUGUAGUUGCAGUGGAAUGUAUUGACGAGAACUCUAAACCGAGUUUCAGACAAGAGGUGAAAACAGACGAGCACGGCCAAUUCAAAGCAAAACUACCGUUCACUGUGAGCAAACAUGUGAAGAAGAUCAAGAGAUGCUCCGUGAAGUUGCUAAGUAGCUCACAGCCUUAUUGUUCCAUAGCUGCUUCCGCUACUUCCACUUCUCUCAAACGCCUUAGAUCAAGCAAACACGGAGAGAACACUAGGGUUUUCUCUGCAGGGUUCUUCACUUUCAAACCGGAGAACCAACCAGAGAUCUGCAGCCAGAAACGUGGAUCCAAGCCUCUUUUACCGGAUCCAGCUUUCCCUCCACCGAUCCAAGACCCGGUUCCAAACAAUCCUUCCCCUCUCCCAAACCUCCCAAUAGUUAACCCUCUCCCUAACCUGCCUAUUCCUCAACUUCCUCCUCUUCUUCCUCCAGGGCCACCACAGAAACAACCUUCCUUGCAUAACAAGAAAGAAAGUUCCUUGGAUGACAAGAAAACCGAAGUACUAAAACCUGAUUUCUUCUUUCCUCCAAACCCGGUCACGCCUCUCCUCCCUCCCACCCCGCUUAACCCGCCUCUCCUCCCUCCCAACCCGCUAAACCCGCCGGGUAUCAUCCCUCCAAACCCUCUCAUUCCGUCUCCACCAACUCUUCCUCUCCCACCUCUACCGUUUCAACCGCCUCCUACCGGGUUAAUCCCUCCUAUUCCGUCAAUUCCUACUCUUCCACCUGUUCCGGUCAUAACUCCCCCUUCACCGCCGCCACCUACUUUCCCUAUUCCCCUCCC
rnacentral:lncRNA from 1 species